CCAAUAGCGUAUAUUAAAGUUGUUGUGGUUAAAAAGCUCGUAGUUGAACCUUGGGCCUGGCUGGCCGGUCCGCCUCACCGCGUGUACUGGUCCGGCCGGGCCUUUCCCUCUGUGGAACCUCAUGCCCUUCACUGGGUGUGACGGGGAAGCAGGACUUUUACUGUGAAAAAAUUAGAGUGCUCCAAGCAGGCCUAUGCUCGAAUACAUUAGCAUGGAAUAAUGAAAUAGGGCGUGCGGUUCUAUUUUGUUGGUUUCUAGGACCGCCGUAAUGAUUAAUAGGGACAGUCGGGGGCAUCAGUAUUCAAUUGUCAGAGGUGAAAUUCUUGGAUUUAUUGAAGACUAACUACUGCGAAAGCAUUUGCCAAGGAUGUUUUCAUUAAUCAGGAACGAAAGUUAGGGGAUCGAAGACGAUCAGAUACCGUCGUAGUCUUAACCAUAAACUAUGCCGACUAGGGAUCGGACGAUGUUAUUUUUUGACUCGUUCGGCACCUUACG
rnacentral:rRNA from 1 species